GACGAACGCUGGCGGCGUGCUUAACACAUGCAAGUCGAACGGAAAGGCCCUGCUUUUGUGGGGUGCUCGAGUGGCGAACGGGUGAGUAACACGUGAGUAACCUGCCCUUGACUGUGGGAUAACUUCAGGAAACUGGGGCUAAUACCGGAUAGGAGCUCCUGCUGCAUGGUGGGGGUUGGAAAGUUUCGGCGGUUGGGGAUGGACUCGCGGCUUAUCAGCUGGUUGGGGGGGUAGUGGCUUACCAAGGCUUUGACGGGUAGCCGGCCUGGGAGGGUGACCGGCCACAUUGGGACUGGGAUACGGCCCAGCCCCCUACGGGAGGCAGCAGUGGGGAAUAUUGCACAAUGGGCGGAACCCUGAUGCAGCACCGCCGCGUGCGGGAUGACGGCCUUCGGUUUGUAAACCGCUUUCGCCUGUGCCGAACCGUGAGUGACGGUAAUUGGUAAAGAAGCACCGGCUAACUACGUG
rnacentral:rRNA from 1 species